UCAGGCCUAACACAUGCAAGUCGAACGGCAGCACGGACUUCGGUCUGGUGGCGAGUGGCGAACGGGUGAGUAAUACAUCGGAACGUGCCCAGUCGUGGGGGAUAACGUAGCGAAAGCUACGCUAAUACCGCAUACGAUCUAAGGAUGAAAGCGGGGGAUCGCAAGACCUCGCGCGAUUGGAGCGGCCGAUGGCAGAUUAGGUAGUUGGUGGGGUAAAGGCUCACCAAGCCGACGAUCUGUAGCUGGUCUGAGAGGACGACCAGCCACACUGGGACUGAGACACGGCCCAGACUCCUACGGGAGGCAUCAGUGGGGAAUUUUGGACAAUGGGCGCAAGCCUGAUCCAGACAUUCCGCGUGCAGGAUGAAGGCCCUCGGGUU
rnacentral:rRNA from 1 species